GCGGGGGCUCAGUGGCAGAGCGCUUGCCUAGCAUGUGUGAGGCACUGGGUUUGAUUCUCAGAAUCGCA
rnacentral:tRNA from 1 species